GACGAACGCUGGCGGCGUGCUUAACACAUGCAAGUCGAACGGAAAGGCUCCAGCUUGCUGGAGUACUCGAGUGGCGAACGGGUGAGUAACACGUGGGUGAUCUGCCCUGCACUUCGGGAUAAGCCUGGGAAACUGGGUCUAAUACCGGAUAGGACCGCACUUUGGUGUGUGUGGUGGAAAGGUUUUUCUGGUGUGGGAUUAGCUCGCGGCCUAUCAGUUUGUUGGUGGGGUAAUGGCCUACCAAGACGGCGACGGGUAGCCGGCCUGAGAGGGUGGACGGGCACAUUGGGACUGAGAUAAGGCCCAGAAUCCUACGGGAGGCAGCAGUGGGGAAUAUUGCACAAGGGGGGAAACCCUGAUGCAGCGACGCCGCGGGGGGGAUGAAGGCCUUCGGGUUGGAAACUCCUUUCGCUAGGGACGAAGCUUUUUGUGACGGUACCUGGAGAAGAAGCACCGGCUAACUACGUG
rnacentral:rRNA from 1 species